rnacentral:lncRNA from 1 species
GGGAUGUUUGGAUCUUUAAUUCAGACUAAAAUUUAUAUCACAUCGAAUAUUCGAAGGUUAGUUAGGAGAACUAAACAUGAGCUAAUUAUAAAACUAAUUACACAGAUGGAGGCUAAUUCACAAGACGAAUCUAUUAAACCUAAUUAAUCUAUCAUUAGCCCAUGUUUACUGUAGUAUCACAUUAUCAAAUUAUGGACUAAUUAGGUUUAAUAGAUUCGUCUCGCAAAUUAGUCUUCAUCUGUGCAAUUGAUUUUGUAAUUACUCUAUAUUUAACACUCCUAAUUAGUAUCUAAACAUUCAAUGUGACAGAAAUUUUUUAGGAACGACUAAAGAAC